GGAUAAGCUCAGGUAACUGGGCGAAAGGUUGUGCUUUGCUGGUAGGGUACAGCCCCCUCCGCUAUGGGAUAAACCAGAGUGGGGGGCAGGAUCCACCGGGCGACUCGGCGUCUGACCGCUAGGCGCCGUCACAGCGGCAAGUCGUUCAGGCGAGUAAGAUCACAACCCCUGUGAUCUGACUCGAGUGAGAGUCACCAAUGGUGGAGGGGUAACCAUUGGUGAAUCGCAGUUUCCCGGGAAAGGGAACACGGUUGCUACUGCGAUACCAGCCUGGUUUACUGUGUUGGAACAGCGCGGGGAAUCCCGCUAAAGCACGCAGUAGGCCAGGAGGCCGGCCUUGUGCGGGCCGCAAGACCGGACCUCGCCUGCGCGGGGACCAAACGUAUGCCCGCGUAGCUGCCACUGAAAGGCAACCUGAGGAUCGAGCCGAGACCCGUAACCUAGGGGAGCAUUAUUCCCCGACUUGGGGAGAGUAAGCCUCCUAGGAUAAAACCUUGGUUUCUGGGUAGGCAGCGGGGGCCAGGGUGGGUGUGCCGAUGGAAGACACUUUAUAGCGUCUACCGAAGGCAGGCUCAGAAGGCUCGGUCCGAUAAUCGGCAGUCGUAAGACGCCGACGGCCCUGCUAUGAGGCCGAAACUCCUGAGUGGCCCUCGGAGAAUAGCGUCGGGAAGCCAGCAGCCAACAAAGCGUAUAGCUUUGGGGCGCCUAAUGUUGGCAGGGGGAAGAGAGUGUGGCGAGCUCC
rnacentral:sRNA from 12 species